AAGUCGUAACAAGGUCUCCGUUGGUGAACCAGCGGAGGGAUCAUUACAGAGUUGCAAAACUCCCUAAACCAUUGUGAACGUUACCUAAACCGUUGCUUCGGCGGGCGGCCCCGGGGUUUACCCCCCGGGCGCCCCUGGGCCCCACCGCGGGCGCCCGCCGGAGGUCACCAAACUCUUGAUAAUUUAUGGCCUCUCUGAGUCUUCUGUACUGAAUAAGUCAAAACUUUCAACAACGGAUCUCUUGGUUCUG
rnacentral:misc_RNA from 1 species